UUACAUGCAGUGUUUGAGCACAAAGAAUUUUGAUUUCUUAAGAAAGGGUUGCCUUCUAGUUUG
rnacentral:tRNA from 1 species